AGAAUUGACUAUCAAGAAUAAUCGAUAAAAAGUUAAUUCAAUUGAUUAAUGAAGUUAAUUAAAUUUAAUUAGAAAAAAUUAAAUAACUUAAAAAAAUGAUUAAUCGAAUAAAAAUAAAAUGAAAAUAAAAUAGAAAUAAAGGGAGGUGUAAUUUGAAAAUGAGGGAGAGAGUAGCAACAUAGCUAGCCCAAAGGCCCCAUUAAAAAUGAAAACUAAUCAAACUAAUAAAACAAUUAAUUUAAUAAAAUAAAAUAAAAUAAACAAACAGCAAAAUAAAAUAAAAAAAAUAUAUAAAAAAAAAAUUUAGCAAAACAAAUGUGGGAGAGCAUCCCAUUCUAAUGUUCUGCAGCUACACAAUCCAUUUUGUGUUGCAGAAUAAUGAUGUAUAAAGGAGCUAAUUAUAAGUCGACAAGUGGCGUUGGAUUUUUUUUAAAAAAAAGAACAAAAUAAUAAUUAGCUAUUAAAAUAAAUGAUAGAGAAAAAAUACAGUUUCUCCCUACUGUUACUCGGUUAAAUUUCCUCUCUCUCUUAACAAUUGUCAUUUAUGGAUUUUUUAGUAUUGGAAUAAAUAGAAAUUAAAUGCAAUAUUUGGAGAAAAAAAAAAGUAGUAAAAGCAAAUUAACCUAUGUUCAUAUAACUAUGAUUUCACUUUUACCUCUUUCAUAACCGUGUUCUUACUCUCUCUAUUUCAAGUUGCUCUGCAACUUCACCUUCCGUCUCCCUCUCAUGGCCAAUCUUGACCGGAGAAGACGGUGGCGGCCGGCCAACCGCGGCGGCGCCGUCGUCUCCUCCGGCGAACAACCACCUCAAAUCUAAAAGAACCAAACACAAACCCCACUUAUUUUUUACUCCUCUACUCAAAUCUAAACUUGUUUUUUCCAAAAUCUUCCUCAAAUGACCGGAUCGGAACCUAAAGAAGAGAAGAAAAAAAAAUACCUAAAUCCUAAUUCGCCUCCCUCUCUCGCGCGGCUACAAACCCUAAAUCAUCCCCCAACAAAACAAAAACCUAAACACUAACUACCAGUUGCUAAAAACUCAGACCCUAAAUCCGAAAUUGGAUCCUCC
rnacentral:lncRNA from 1 species